ensembl:misc_RNA
CUGACAGCAUUGGAAACAGAAGUCUUCUUUGUGUCCACUAAACAGGUACAGCGUGAGCAGCAGCAGUGCAAGCUUCACCACACUGCCCCACCAAAGCGGUGCAAACCCUGACCUAGAGAGAGACCUCUGUAGCAAGGGUUAAAAGGCUUGUUCAGUCUCCAUGCUCACUCAGUCUUUACUGAGGCU